GAAAAAGUAAUUAAAAAUAAUAUUUCUUUGUCAAAGAUAAAUUGCUUAAUAAAUUAAGCCUUUUUCU